rnacentral:rRNA from 1 species
UACGUAGGGGGCAAGCGUUGUCCGGAUUUAUUGGGCGUAAAGCGCUCGCAGGUGGUUCGUUGCGUCGUGCGUGAAAGACCCCGGCUCAACUGGGGAGUGUCGUGCGAUACGGGCGAACUGGAGGCCAGUAGGGGGAUGCGGAAUUCCCAGUGUAGAGGGUGAAAAUUCGUAGAUAUUGGGAAGAACACCGGUGGCGAAGGCGGCGACCUGGUCCGUGACUGACGCUGAGGCGCGAAAGCGUGGGGAGCAAACAGG